rnacentral:misc_RNA from 1 species
GGCGAUGUCACACACAUCGGGUAGCUUCUACCACGUGGAUGCUUCAACCCAGCAGGUUCUUCUUUCUUAAGUGAGUGACUGAGCCAGUUUUUACUCCAGUAUGUGUUGAUAAGCUCGUAUAUAUAUUAUUUGUAGAUUUGUAGAUGUUUUCUAUAUAAAAUGUUUCUUUCUUAAACUAUAUCUUUUUAUUCUUGAGAAAUAAAUUGAAGCUUAAGUUUGUUUAAGCGUGGUUUAUUUCUUAAGAAUAGUGUUAAUUCAUAUUCAUCCAUUAUCAACCUUUAUAUUUUACUACAGCUUUGUACGUAAUUAUCAUGUCUAAAAUAUUGCAACUGUAUCUGCUAUCAAGCACUACGAAUUGAUUACUUAUGUAAUGGGCAGAUGGCCGGGAUAAAUGCCCCCUAGCCAUCGGUCCAGUCACGUGACUUCUUAUCUCGGAUGGUUCUUGGACAGCUACAGCACCAGCUAUCCACCACCAUCCCCGCCACUCACCUUUAUCUUACUUUGCCAUGGUAAUGCCAAAAAGAGCCGGCUCAGUCAAUUUAUUUGCCCUAAUAUUUCAUAUUUUUCCCCAUUAAGUAUUCAUUUGCUAAUUGCAAUAUAAUUACUUGUAUCAUUUUAAUUGCUUGUACAAUUCAGUCCGUCUCAGUAUUCUCGUACUGACGAAGUUCUACCUCGUAGAUCUUCCAACCUUUGUCACAUGCCCUGCAGGGUUCAACAACUAUCGUUGUGGCGAUGUCACACACAUCGGGUAGCUUCUACCACGUGGAUGCUUCAACCCAGCAGGUUCUUCUUUCUUAAGUGAGUGACUGAGCCAGUUUUUACUCCAGUAUGUGUUGAUAAGCUCGUAUAUAUAUUAUUUGUAGAUUUGUAGAUGUUUUCUAUAUAAAAUGUUUCUUUCUU